CACACACACAGUCACUUAACCUUAACCUAGCUUAACCAAACCUAACCCAGCCAAAACAAGUCAAACCCUAUCCCUCAACCCACAGGUACUGAUGGGUGUGGCAUUCAGCAGAGGCUUCACCACUGGGCCGACUGUGGGGGCUGCGUUCUCCCGCUGCAGAAGUUGUUUCUUCUUCAUGGCCUCAGCUGUCUACGCACUUAGUGUUGCUAUAGCUAACAUACUGUUCUUUGCUCUCUUCUUCCAGGAAUUGCUGCCUGAGGUACAAAUGUAUAGAGACAAGAUGGAAAAGCAGGAAGACUACCACCACCACCACCACCAUCAUCACACCAGGACAGUGGAAGAAGGGGUAGAGACAGACAGUGAAAGUUGAAAAAAUAAAUAAUUAAUUGCU